rnacentral:rRNA from 1 species
UGUACUAGUUAAUUAUGUUUGAACAAUGGAGGGACGCAGAAGGCUAAGUUAUGCAUACUGAUGGAAAUGUAUGUUCAAAUCGUAAGUCAGGUUAUGAGUUAAAUGCUUGUAACCGGGUUGACAAGCGAUGAUGAGGAUCGAAAUUUAAGUAGAGAAGUAACCCAUGUCACGCUGCCGAGAAAAGCUUCUAGUUAGUAAUUAAUUACCCGUACCGCAAACCGACACAGGUAGUCGAGGAGA